GAUGGUCACUUCGAUUAGUACAGGAAUUGGUUCCUGUGCUACCGGCUUAGGUUCGAACCUGCGGGGUCACACACAUUAGAGGUUCCUAUCUGAUUUGAUGGCUGAUGUAGAAUCCUAUAUAUUUGGAACUCAGUGAUCGAGAAUCAGGAUUCUCUGAUCAUGAGUUCCACACAUUAUGGGUACCGGGGUCAAGAGUCCCACUGGUUUGGACUUUUCGAUCAGGGUUACAUAUCGAUGAAUUCUGAUGCCCGAUUGCCUAUCGAAUUUAGACUCAGUAUUUAUGAGAGGUUUAAUUAGUAAUUUG
rnacentral:lncRNA from 1 species